CCUACGGGUGGCAGCAGUGGGGAAUAUUGCACAAUGGGGGCGACCCUGAUGCAGCGAAGCCGCGUGAGUGAAGACGUAUCUCGGUAUGUAAAGCUCUAUCAGCUGGGGAGAAAAUGACGGUACCUGACUAAGAAGCACCGGCUAACUACGUGCCAGCAGCCGCGGUACUACGUAGGGGGCAAGCGUUAUACGGAUUUACUGGGGGUAAAGGGGGCGUAGACGGCGCUGCAAGUCCGGAGUGAAAGCCCAUGGCUUAACCAUGGUACUGCGCUGGAAACUGGGGAGAUUGAGUGCGGGAGGGGCAGGCGGAAUGCCUAGUGUAGCGGUGAAAUGCGUAGAUAUUAGGAGGAACACCGGCUGCGAAGGCGGCCUGCGGGAGCGUAACUGACGUUGAGGCUCGAAAGCGUGGGGAGCAAACAGGAUUAGAUACCCCAGUAGUC
rnacentral:rRNA from 1 species